GUGGGGAAUCUUGCGCAAUGGGCGAAAGCCUGGCGCAGCCAUGCCGCGUGGAUGAUGAAGGUCUUAGGAUUGUAAAAUCCUUUCACCGGUGAAGAUAAUGACUGUAGCCGGAGAAGAAGCCCCGGCUAACUUCGUGCCAGCAGCCGCGGUAAUACGAAGGGGGCUAGCGUUGCUCGGAUUUACUGGGCGUAAAGGGCGCGUAGGCGGACAUUUAAGUCAGGGGUGAAAUCCCGGGGCUCAACCUCGGAACUGCCUUUGAUACUGGGUGGCUUGAGUAUGAGAGAGGUGUGUGGAACUCCGAGUGUAGAGGUGAAAUUCGUAGAUAUUCGGAGGAACACCAGUGGCGAAGGCGGCUUACUGGUCCAUUACUGACGCUGAGGUGCGAAAGCGUGGGGAGCAAACAGGAUUAGAUACCCCUGUAGUCC
rnacentral:rRNA from 1 species